rnacentral:rRNA from 1 species
ACGAACGCUGGCGGCGUGCUUAACACAUGCAAGUCGAACGGAAAGGCUCUGCUUUUGUGGGGUGCUCGAGUGGCGAACGGGUGAGUAACACGUGAGUAACCUGCCCUUGACUUUGGGAUAACUUCAGGAAACUGGGGCUAAUACCGGAUAGGAGCUCCUGCUGCAUGGUGGGGGUUGGAAAGUUUCGGCGGUUGGGGAUGGACUCGCGGCUUAUCAGCUUGUUGGUGGGGUAGUGGCUUACCAAGGCUUUGACGGGUAGCCGGCCUGAGAGGGUGACCGGCCACAUUGGGACUGAGAUACGGCCCAGACUCCUACGGGAGGCAGCAGUGGGGAAUAUUGCACAAUGGGCGGAAGCCUGAUGCAGCAACGCCGCGUGCGGGAUGACGGCCUUCGGGUUGUAAACCGCUUUCGCCUGUGACGAAGCGUGAGUGACGGUAAUGGGUAAAGAAGCACCGGCUAACUACGUG